rnacentral:rRNA from 1 species
UGGGUCACCUGCCCUCAGCUCUGGGAUAAGCCUGGGAAACUGGGUCUAAUACCGGAUAUGACCAUUGGUUGCAUGACUGGUGGUGGAAAGUGUGUUCUUUAUUGAGCGCUUCGGCUGGGGAUGGGCCCGCGGCCUAUCAGCUUGUUGGGUGGGGUGAUGGCCUACCAAGGCGACGACGGGUAGCCGGCCUGAGGAGGGCGACCGGCCACACGUGGGUCUGAGACACGGCCCAGACCUCCG